GACAAUAGACUAAUCUUCCCCAAGAGCUCACAUUGACUGGAAGGUUUGGCACCUUGAUGUCGGCUCUUCGCCACCUGAGGCUGUAGUAUGUUGUUCCAAGGGUUGGGCUGUCCACUUAAUCAUUACUUAGAAUUUUAGACAAAACCAGUGGCGUUU
rnacentral:rRNA from 1 species